UAGGGGUGAUACUGUUCAAGAUGCAAAAAGAGGAACCGGAGGAUCAGCUGUGUUCGUUGCCCGAAACAGGUUUGCGGUGCUUGAGAAGAGCACUAAUCAAGUCCUGGUAAAAAAUCUCAAGAAUGAAAUUGUCAAGAAAAGCCUUCUUCCUAUGGCAACUGAUGCAAUAUUUUAUGCUGGCACUGGAAACUUACUAUGUAGGGCAG
rnacentral:misc_RNA from 1 species